GAUGAACGCUGGCGGCGUGCCUAAUACAUGCAAGUCGAGCGAACAGACGAGAAGCUUGCUCCUCUGACGUUAGCGGCGGACGGGUGAGUAACACGUGGAUAACCUACCUAUAAGACUGGGAUAACUUCGGGAAACCGGAGCUAAUACCGGAUAAUAUAUUGAACCGCAUGGUUCAAUAGUGAAAGACGGUUUUGCUGUCACUUAUAGAUGGAUCCGCGCUGCAUUAGCUAGUUGGUAAGGUAACGGCUUACCAAGGCAACGAUGCGUAGCCGACCUGAGAGGGUGAUCGGCCACACUGGAACUGAGACACGGUCCAGACUCCUACGGGAGGCAGCAGUAGGGAAUCUUCCGCAAUGGGCGAAAGCUUGACGGAGCAACGCCGCGUGAGUGAUGAAGGUCUUCGGAUCGUAAAACUCUGUUAUUAGGGAAGAACAAAUGUGUAAGUAACUAUGCACGUCUUGACGGUACCUAAUCAGAAAGCCACGGCUAACUACGUG
rnacentral:rRNA from 1 species